AUUGAACGCUGGCGGCAUGCCUUACACAUGCAAGUCGAACGGCAGCACGGGAGCAAUCCUGGUGGCGAGUGGCGAACGGGUGAGUAAAGUAUCGGAACGUGCCCAGUCGUGGGGGAUAACGUAGCGAAAGUUACGCUAAUACCGCAUACGAUCUAUGGAUGAAAGCGGGGGAUCGCAAGACCUCGCGCGAUUGGAGCGGCCGAUAUCAGAUUAGGUAGUUGGUGGGGUAAAGGCUCACCAAGCCGACGAUCUGUAGCUGGUCUGAGAGGACGACCAGCCACACUGGGACUGAGACACGGCCCAGACUCCUACGGGAGGCAGCAGUGGGGAAUUUUGGACAAUGGGCGCAAGCCUGAUCCAGCCAUGCCGCGUGCAGGAUGAAGGCCUUCGGGUUGUAAACUGCUUUUGUACGGAACGAAAAGGUUUGACUUAAUACGUUGGACUCAUGACGGUACCGUAAGAAUAAGCACCGGCUAACUACGUGCCAGCCGCCGCCGUAA
rnacentral:rRNA from 1 species